rnacentral:tRNA from 1 species
GGGGCGGUGGCGAAAUGGUAGACGCAGCGGACUUAAAAUCCGCCGGAGGCAACUCCGUGUGGGUUCGACUCCCACCCGCCCUA